GGGCGCAUGGGCCCCAAACAGAGUCCAACUCAUCUUAACACAUACAGCUAGGGGGUAUGCUAAUGAAGACAAGGCAAUGUUCAGUAAAAUGCAAAUAGGUCCAAACACACAAGCCCACACGAAAAUCAACAUGUGCAAUUGGAAUGGAUAAGGUUGAAGUUGACAUGGAAAUGAGUCAUCAAUAACUAGAACUAAUAAACUAAAAGUAAUAAAAUGCACAUGCAAAACAUGUUGAAGAACUCAAAACUAAACUAUGGAACACGUCAUCUCCCUUCUCUCUCAGUCCUCCCUCCGUCGCGUCGGAGGCCAUCUCCGGCGACAGAGACACUCCUUAAACUCAAUCGAGAACAUCACCUAAACCAUUUCUAUGCCCUGAAUCCAAAAAUGAUAAUGGAAACUCCUAAUUCUUCUUGAACUAUUCAAAUCGAAUGGAAAACGUGAAGAACCAUAACUAAGAGAUUUCAAAUUAAAUCAAAACAGAGGGGAAUCAAGCCACUCCACCUUGGGGCUUUGAUUCCCCUCAUGGAGGGCUACAUAGUGGUAACUUUUAUUUUAUAAAACGAUGAAAAGAAGAAUGGAGACCUACAGGAUAAUACAUUGGCUUCUGUUAUGCAGGUUGUCAUUGGCCAUGAAGUGUAUGAUGGAUUCAAACUCGGCUUGGAUUUGCAGGGAUGUUUACAUGUUUGGACUUGGAUUAGUUAUGAAGCUUGGAGAUUGUCAGUGAAAAAUACAGGGCUUUGGAUUUGGCUAUUGGAGUAUAUGAACUUUGUAGUUGGUUUAUUGAAUACAUUGAAUAUAUGAAAUAUGUAUGGAAUUUGUAUAAACAUGGUUGUAAUGGUUGAAUAUAUGUACUUGGAAUUGAAUGAUGGUCUAA